GGGCUCCAUGGGCGGCAGGAGGGCAGGUUCUGCCUAAGACCAUCCGUUUUGAUCCUAUUAAGGAGGCGGGGGCUGCCCAGGAGCCGGGUCUCCCUGACAGUUGUUCCUCUGUAUCCUUACGGAUUAACUUCUGUUGGGUUUUGCUCAUUCGGUCAUUGCCUGACAGGUGCACCUCCAUCCAACCAGUGUGCCACACGUAGCGACAGACACCCCGUAUGUGUCACCUUACUCGGUGCCGCCCGCACCCUUGGGAGGGAAGUACAGUUAUUCACAUCCUGCACACGAAGAACCAGCAGCACAGAGGGUCACCCGGGCACACACCAGCAAGUAGCAGAGCUGGGAUGCAGAUUAUUACCAUGAAAAUGAGGCUUCUGUUUCUAAGAAACUCUAAAAAUAUUUCUCACCUGCACCUACCAUGUUCUGCCACAUUAUAAUCUUGGUUACAGUUCUAAAAAUGUCAGAACAGAAGAUCGUGAACUGAAGAUGUGUCACAGACAAACACAUUUGAAAGACAAGUUUGACAUAGUGGACUGAGGGGGAAAAAAAUUCCAACUGUGAGAAAACUUGAUCAUGACCUACAGCCUAAAAAAAAAAAACUCAUGCUUUAUAAAAUACAAAAUUGUACGAGCACCAUGAUUAAAACUGCUGAUUCCUGG